GUGGAACAUGGAUGCAGUCUACUGGUUACACCGUAGAGGCAGCAAAGAAACAGAAAUAUCCAAGCUGUUUGGCUGGGACGCUCUACCAGGAAAUGGGAUUGAACUUCAACAGCACAAACCAUCACAAUUGGAAAUGGAUGGGCUGAAACUAAAUAGCUUCUUCUCUCUUCUCCAAAAGAACAGUUAUUACCAUCUUUAAUACCAUAUUGACAGCUCUGGAGAAUGAAGUCCUCUAUUCACAGAACAGACAGAGUAAGGACAACAGCAGUACAAGUUUCCCCUGGUGGGAUAUCAACGCUCUCACCUGAACCUGGAGUGACAACUUCCCUUCAGUAUAGAACUUUAAAAUGAGCA